AUCACAUGACCCCAUCUCAAGAAACAAAAAAUAGGCCAGACGCGGUGGCUCACGCCUGUAAUCCCAGCACUUCGGCAGGCCAAGGCAGGCGGAUCACGAGGUCAGGAGAUCGAGACCAUCCUGGCUAACACGGUGAAACCCCGUCUCUACUAAAAAUACAAAAAAUUAGCUGGGCGCGGUGGCGGCCGCCUGUAGUCCCAGCUACUCGGGAGGCUGAGGCAGGAGAAUGGUGUGAGCCUGGGAGGCGGAGCUUGCAGUGAGCCG
rnacentral:lncRNA from 1 species